rnacentral:rRNA from 1 species
GUAAUGGCAGGUCAGCAUACUGCCGUGAAUACGUUCCCGGGCCUUGUACACACCGCCCGUCACACCAUGAGAGUUGGGGAUACCCAAAGUCCGUGAGCCAACUGUAAAGAGGCAGCGGUCUAAGGUAGAAUCAAUGAUUGGGGUGAAGUCGUAACAAGGUACC